GGUUAAGCGACUAAGCGUACACGGUGGAUGCCCUGGCAGUCAGAGGCGAUGAAGGGCGUGCUAAUCUGCGAUAAGCGCCGGUAAGGUGAUAUGAACCGUUAUAACCGGCGAUACCCGAAUGGGGAAACCCAGUGUGAUUCGUCACACUAUCAUUAACUGAAUCCAUAGGUUAAUGAGGCGAACCGGGGGAACUGAAACAUCUAAGUACCCCGAGGAAAAGAAAUCAACCGAGAUUCCCCCAGUAGCGGCGAGCGAACGGGGAGGAGCCCAGAGCCUGAAUCAGCAUGUGUGUUAGUGGAAGCGUCUGGAAAGGCGCGCGAUACAGGGUGACAGCCCCGUACACAAAAGCGCAUGUGCUGUGAGCUCGAUGAGUAGGGCGGGACACGUGGUAUCCUGUCUGAAUAUGGGGGGACCAUCCUCCAAGGCUAAAUACUCCUGACUGACCGAUAGUGAACCAGUACCGUGAGGGAAAGGCGAAAAGAACCCCGGCGAGGGGAGUGAAAAAGAACCUGAAACCGUGUACGUACAAGCAGUGGGAGCACCCCCACCAAAGCAUUCUCUGGUGUUGAAGGCCCUGCAAAGCAGCAUCGCGGUGGCGGAGCGUCGUUUGCGACGCCCAACACACAAAACAAGCGGUGAAUGCUUUGGGGUGGGGUGACUGCGUACCUUUUGUAUAAUGGGUCAGCGACUUAUAUUCUGUAGCAAGGUUAACCGUAUAGGGGAGCCGGAGGGAAACCGAGUCUUAACCGGGCGUUAAGUUGCAGGGUAUAGACCCGAAACCCGGUGAUCUAGCCAUGGGCAGGUUGAAGGUUGGGUAACACUAACUGGAGGACCGAACCGACUAAUGUUGAAAAAUUAGCGGAUGACCUGUGGCUGGGGGUGAAAGGCCAAUCAAACCGGGAGAUAGCUGGUUCUCCCCGAAAGCUAUUUAGGUAGCGCCUCGUGAAUUCAUCUCCGGGGGUAGAGCACUGUUUCGGCUAGGGGGCCAUCCCGGCUUACCAACCCGAUGCAAACUGCGAAUACCGGAGAAUGUUAUCACGGGAGACACACGGCGGGUGCUAACGUCCGUCGUGAAGAGGGAAACAACCCAGACCGCCAGCUAAGGUCCCAAAGUCAUGGUUAAGUGGGAAACGAUGUGGGAAGGCCCAGACAGCCAGGAUGUUGGCUUAGAAGCAGCCAUCAUUUAAAGAAAGCGUAAUAGCUCACUGGUCGAGUCGGCCUGCGCGGAAGAUGUAACGGGGCUAAACCAUGCACCGAAGCUGCGGCAGCGAACGUAUCACCCAAGACAACUUUACGGAGUUGACGAUUGACGGAGCGAAGCGACGUCAAAGCGUUCAUUAAAGUCGAGUUGGCUUAGGGAUACGUUCGUUGGGUAGGGGAGCGUUCUGUAAGCCUGUGAAGGUGUGUCGUGAGGCAUGCUGGAGGUAUCAGAAGUGCGAAUGCUGACAUAAGUAACGAUAAAGCGGGUGAAAAGCCCGCUCGCCGGAAGACCAAGGGUUCCUGUCCAACGUUAAUCGGGGCAGGGUGAGUCGACCCCUAAGGCGAGGCCGAAAGGCGUAGUCGAUGGGAAACGGGUUAAUAUUCCCGUACUUGGUGUUACUGCGAAGGGGGGACGGAGAAGGCUAUGUUGGCCGGGCGACGGUUGUCCCGGUUUAAGCGUGUAGGUGUGUGUUCCAGGUAAAUCCGGUUCACUUUAACACUGAGGCGUGACGACGAGGCACUACGGUGCUGAAGCAACAAAUGCCCUGCUUCCAGGAAAAGCCUCUAAGCAUCAGGUAACACGAAAUCGUACCCCAAACCGACACAGGUGGUCAGGUAGAGAAUACCAAGGCGCUUGAGAGAACUCGGGUGAAGGAACUAGGCAAAAUGGUGCCGUAACUUCGGGAGAAGGCACGCUGACACGUAGGUGAAGUGAUUUACUCACGGAGCUGAAGUCAGUCGAAGAUACCAGCUGGCUGCAACUGUUUAUUAAAAACACAGCACUGUGCAAACACGAAAGUGGACGUAUACGGUGUGACGCCUGCCCGGUGCCGGAAGGUUAAUUGAUGGGGUCAGCGCAAGCGAAGCUCCUGAUCGAAGCCCCGGUAAACGGCGGCCGUAACUAUAACGGUCCUAAGGUAGCGAAAUUCCUUGUCGGGUAAGUUCCGACCUGCACGAAUGGCGUAAUGAUGGCCAGGCUGUCUCCACCCGAGACUCAGUGAAAUUGAACUCGCUGUGAAGAUGCAGUGUACCCGCGGCAAGACGGAAAGACCCCGUGAACCUUUACUAUAGCUUGACACUGAACAUUGAGCCUUGAUGUGUAGGAUAGGUGGGAGGCUUUGAAGUGUGGACGCCAGUCUGCAUGGAGCCGACCUUGAAAUACCACCCUUUAAUGUUUGAUGUUCUAACGUGGACCCGUAAUCCGGGUUGCGGACAGUGUCUGGUGGGUAGUUUGACUGGGGCGGUCUCCUCCUAAAGAGUAACGGAGGAGCACGAAGGUUGGCUAAUCCUGGUCGGACAUCAGGAGGUUAGUGCAAUGGCAUAAGCCAGCUUGACUGCGAGCGUGACGGCGCGAGCAGGUGCGAAAGCAGGUCAUAGUGAUCCGGUGGUUCUGAAUGGAAGGGCCAUCGCUCAACGGAUAAAAGGUACUCCGGGGAUAACAGGCUGAUACCGCCCAAGAGUUCAUAUCGACGGCGGUGUUUGGCACCUCGAUGUCGGCUCAUCACAUCCUGGGGCUGAAGUAGGUCCCAAGGGUAUGGCUGUUCGCCAUUUAAAGUGGUACGCGAGCUGGGUUUAGAACGUCGUGAGACAGUUCGGUCCCUAUCUGCCGUGGGCGCUGGAGAACUGAGGGGGGCUGCUCCUAGUACGAGAGGACCGGAGUGGACGCAUCACUGGUGUUCGGGUUGUCAUGCCAAUGGCACUGCCCGGUAGCUAAAUGCGGAAGAGAUAAGUGCUGAAAGCAUCUAAGCACGAAACUUGCCCCGAGAUGAGUUCUCCCUGAGACUUUAGGUCUCCUGAAGGAACGUUGAAGACGACGACGUUGAUAGGCCGGGUGUGUAAGCGCAGCGAUGCGUUGAGCUAACCGGUACUAAUGAACCGUGAGGCUUAACCUU
rnacentral:rRNA from 1 species